UUGAGAGCAUUAUAUGCUUAUUUUGUUGAUAGACCCCUCAAGGAAAUUCCUCACAUUGAGGUGCCACUUCAUACUAUCAUAGAAAUACAAAAGGGAGUAACAGGCGUUCAAGAGAAAAGAUAUAAACUAAUGGAUUGGCCACACCUCAAGAGAUUUGGUUUUCUUGAUAAUGGAACUUGUCCAAAAAACAUUGAGAUGAAUUUUUCAUUGAUUGUAUUUCAAUUCUUUGUCAAAAAUAUAAUAUUAGUAAUAAUCUAACUGUUGUAACAAUAAUAGUUAUAUUACAAAUAAAAUAUGUAAGUUUUGCUCCAACAA